ensembl:lncRNA
GUGCUUGGGCAGCUCAAACCCUGACCCCAUCCGUGCUGUCUUUGGUUCUUCUCUUUGUUCCAGUAGCAGCACCCCCAGAAGCCCAGCCAGAGCCUCAGACAAAGGAAACGGAGCCCCCACCAGAGAGCUCUGCCCCAAUGCCAGCUCCUCCAAAGCCUGAGGAGCCCCCCACAAACCAGGACAGCCAGCCAGAUACCCUGGCUGCCUCCUGCCUCCCUCCUGCUGGAGAUCAUGCCAGGCUGAUGGGGUGGGUCAAGAGGAGACUGGAAAUGGUGAUUCCUCAGCCUGUUCCUUGCAAGAAGGUGGUGCAGGAGCUGGAAGCACCCACCGAGUGCACCGUGCAGAACAGGGUGGAGUCACUUGGAAGCCUCUGAAACAAACAGAGAAGGGGAGCCUGGUAGGACUGUUUCUGGGCUGACGGACCAAAUCCAGGUCUGGAGAAAAAUAUGCACUGAGGCAUGGUCAUAGGGGAGGUGGCGAAAACAGAAGUGACUUUAAGUUUUCUUUCUAUUUGAAAAUCAAAACUCCCACAACCAAGACGUCUAAAGAAAGCUGGCCAACACCAGGGCUUCUUUACUAGAGAUUGAGAUUUUUUUGGAGGCUUGCUCUUGGAGAAACCAUUGAACACUGAUUCUUAUAUUGAAAGGUUUUUCAUUUGGACAGUCCUGGCUUGCCAGUUCCAGGCUUUUCAAGAGUCAUUUGGAUAAUCCAAUUCCCAGAUCAGAAGUCAAAUCUCAGUUAGAACAUGACUUACCACAUGACCCCUGAGCAUGUUUUCUUCCUUCUUGGUGCCUGGAUGUCCCCAUCUGUAAAAUGGGGAGAAGUGUACUAUACUGCCUGGCAAGGGAUUAUGAGACGUCAGCAGCAAACAUCCUUGGAAAGACUUGAGCAGUGCUAACUGCUUUCUGAAUGACCCUCAGGCUCUGAAGAAUGAAUCCACUGCCUUUGCAAGAAAUCUCUCCUCCCUCCAGCUCCCUCCCCU